UACGUAGGGGGCUAGCGUUGUCCGGAUUUAUUGGGCGUAAAGAGCGUGUAGGCGGCCAGGUAGGUCUGCUGUGAAAACUCGAGGCUCAACCUCGAGACGUCGGCGGAAACCAUCUGGCUAGAGUCCGGAAGAGGAGACUGGAAUUUACGGUGUAGCGGUGAAAUGCGUAGAUAUCGUAAGGAAGACCAGUGGCGAAGGCGGGUCUCUGGACAGUUCCUGACGCUGAGGCACGAAGGCCAGGGGAGGCAAACGGG
rnacentral:rRNA from 1 species